CAAGUCCGAUACGAGAACGAAGUGGCGAAUCAUCUUGGCCCCGAGUCAAUGCGUUGGUCGUCGUGAGGCUGGCAGCGAAGCGUUGACAGGGGAAACGACAGGCCAGCCAUUGAGCCGCGAAAUCAUAAGUCCCGGGAUGCCGACGCUAUACAGAUAAGCGGAAGGCGACACGGAGUGGGGUGUCAAUCGCAAGCCCUGUGACGAUCCCGCGCGGUCGAAGACCC
rnacentral:ncRNA from 1 species